GUUUCAAUUCCUCAUAGGCAGGCUAUCGGC
rnacentral:other from 1 species